rnacentral:rRNA from 1 species
GUCAAGGAUCAUGGCACCCCGAACGCGCCCGAUCUCGUCGGAUCUCGGAAGCUAAGCAGGGUCGGGCCUGGUUAGUACUUGGGUGGGAGACCGCUGGGAUUACCGGGUGCCGUAGGCU